AACGAACGCUGGCGGCAGGCCUAACACAUGCAAGUCGAGCGCCCCGCAAGGGGAGCGGCGGACGGGUGAGUAACGCGUGGGAACGUACCCUUUGCUACGGAAUAGCCUCGGGGAAAACUGGGAGUAAUACCGUAUGUGCCCCUUCGGGGGAAAGGAUUUAUCGGCAAAGGAUCGGCCCGCGUUGGAUUAGGUAGUUGGUGGGGUAAUGGCCUACCAAGCCGACGAUCCAUAGCUGGUUUGAGAGGAUGAUCAGCCACACUGGGACUGAGACACGGCCCAGACUCCUACGGGAGGCAGCAGUGGGGAAUCUUAGACAAUGGGCGCAAGCCUGAUCUAGCCAUGCCGCGUGAGCGAUGAAGGCCUUAGGGUUGUAAAGCUCUUUCAGUGGGGAAGAUAAUGACUGUACCCACAGAAGAAGCCCCGGCUAACUCCGUG
rnacentral:rRNA from 1 species